GAUGAACGCUGGCGGCGUGCCUAAUACAUGCAAGUCGAGCGAACGGACGAGAAGCUUGCUUCUCUGAUGUUAGCGGCGGACGGGUGAGUAACACGUGGAUAACCUACCUAUAAGACUGGGAUAACUUCGGGAAACCGGAGCUAAUACCGGAUAAUAUUUUGAACCGCAUGGUUCAAAAGUGAAAGACGGUCUUGCUGUCACUUAUAGAUGGAUCCGCGCUGCAUUAGCUAGUUGGUAAGGUAACGGCUUACCAAGGCAACGAUGCAUAGCCGACCUGAGAGGGGGAUCGGCCACACUGGAACUUAGACACGGUCCAGACUCCUACGGGAGGCAGCAGUAGGGAAUCGUCCGCAAUGGUCGAAAGCCUGACGGAGCAACGCCGCGUGAGUGAUGAAGGUCUUCGGAUCGUAAAACUCUGUUAUUAGGGAAGAACAUAUGUGUAAGUAACUGUGCACAUCUUGACGGUACCUAAUCAGAAAGCCACGGCUAACUACGUG
rnacentral:rRNA from 1 species